rnacentral:lncRNA from 1 species
AAAUUUCAAAUUUUAAAUUUUAAUUUCAAUUUUAAAUAAAUUUACAGUUUAAACCUUUGUGUUUAGCAUUUUGUUAUAAUUUACAUAAAUUUGAUAACUAAACAUAUAAUUUUAAUUUAUUUAUUUUUUAUAUGUUUUUUUCUCAUAAUAUCUCAAAUUUCAAAUUCAAAUAAAUUUUCCAUUUAAUCAUUUAUAUUAACAUUUUGUUUUAAUCAACCCGUAUAAUAUACGGGUCACACACUUAGUGUUUAUAAUCAUUAAAAAUCGCUAGCAAUUACAACACACAUAUAUUUACUUUCAUUAGCUUUUUGUUUUAAUUUUAUUUGAAUAAAGGGUUUUUAUACAAAGCAGUAAAUCACAUUACUACAUUUAUAUAAGCUAAAUCCUAUAUGAAUUAAGGAUCUGAAUAUCUAGCACAAAUUACUUGUAGAAGGUGAUUCGCUGUUAAUAUUUUGGCAUCCUUAGCUACCCUUAGCUACCCCUAUUCCUUCUCUCCCGUGGUUUCGAAGCACCAAAGAUCAUACACAAGCAUAUUAUGGAAAAAAGAAAAGUUAUAGGACGUAUACCCCCAUGCCAUUUUCAUGUCCCAAAUGACUUACAAUUAAGAAAUUUCACUAUUUCUGGCAUGUAUCCUGCAUCACAUGUCAAUUUCUUAAACACAUAAACACAUAAGUGGUCCCAUGUAACCAAAAUAGCCUAAAAGGAUUUACAAAAUAAUUGGUGACAGAAUGCUCUGGUUAAAGAAAAGUACCUUGCAACCACAGAUCAACAUCAUUGGAUCCAAUAGCUAUAUAGAAAAGUAGUUUAAUAAUGGAUAUGCUAGAUGUCCCCUGCUCCCUUCUUUUCAAAAGAAGAAAAGAACUUGAUUUGAAAUUAAUGUGCGAAAAUCAAUCAACGGAAGCACACAAUUAAAAAUGAAAUCAGGAUAACUAUACAAAUUAGUUUGUAAAGCACACAAUUCUAAUGAUCCAAAACACACCCCCUAAUCGCCUAGGUUUGAAAUCAACAAAUUACAUUUCGCCCUACCUCCUCAUAAAAUUGUAGGUUCUUCGUUAAUAUCUAGUCGCGUAAUAUUUUUUCCUGAGAGGAAAGCAUAUAAAAUAAUAUCAAAUUGGUCAGAGUAGUCAAGCAUCAUGGUGAAACUGCAAACCCUAAGCAUGGAAAAUUAGGGCAACCCAAAGUUCGGAAAUAUUGUCGAUCGGAGAAGGAUGAGUCCUGUAAAAAAUUGAGAUGAUUAGAUUUGACUUUUGAAAGAAAAUCCAUGUAAGAUGUGAUGUAAAAAAUUGAGAUCCUCAUCAUACAAAAAAAAUGAAAAACAUUGAAUAUCAUUGGCUUAGAGGGAGCAGUGGUAUGGAGAAGUAGGAGGCCGGUGUCCCAAACAUGGAGGAUAAAAAGAGUCGGAGUAAAACAUCCGUUUCCUGAACCUUCGAUGAAGAUUUUGAAUAAGUAACCAAAAGGAUGAAGCGAUGGGCAUUGGCAGAGGAAAAAUAUAUCGCAGGGAAGGGAUGGGGUCGCCAAUUUUGAGAAGCGAUUGUAUGCGAGUGAAGGUGACAAG